CCCUUAGAUGUCCGGGGCCGCACGCGCGCUACACUGAAGGAAUCAGCGUGGCUUUCUCCCUGACCCGAAAGGGUUGGGAAACCCGUUGAAUCUCCUUCGUGAUAGGGAUUGGGGCUUGAAAUUGUUCCCCAUGAACGAGGAAUUCCCAGUAAGCGCGAGUCAUAAGCUCGCGUUGAUUACGUCCCUGCCCUUUGUACACACCGCCCGUCGCUACUACCGAUUGAACGGUUUAGUGAGGGCCUCGGAUUGGUCUCGGCCCGCUCUUUACCGGGCGGCGCCGUUGGUCGAGAAGACGAUCAAACUUGAUCAUUUAGAGGAAGUAAAAGUCGUAACA
rnacentral:rRNA from 1 species